rnacentral:rRNA from 1 species
GUGGGGAAUAUUGGGCAAUGGGCGAAAGCCUGACCCAGCAACACCGCGUGAAGGAAGAAGGUUUUCGGAUCGUAAACUUCUAUCCUAGGUGAAGAUAAUGACGGUAGCCUAGAAGGAAGCCCCGGCUAACUACGUGCCAGCAGCCGCGGUAAUACGUAGGGGGCAAGCGUUGUCCGGAAUGAUUGGGCGUAAAGGGCGCGUAGGCGGCCAUGUAAGUCCGAUGUGAAAGUCCUGCUUUUAAGGUGGGAAUUGCAUUGGAAACUGUGUGGCUUGAGUGCAGGAGAGGUAAGUGGAAUUCCCGGUGUAGCGGUGAAAUGCGUAGAGAUCGGGAGGAACACCAGUGGCGAAGGCGACUUACUGGACUGUAACUGACGCUGAGGCGCGAAAGUGUGGGGAGCAAACAGGAUUAGAAACCCUAGUAGUCC